rnacentral:lncRNA from 1 species
UGGACUAGCUGAAGAAGGUUUUGGGUUUUCAUGUGAUACAUUCUUCUCUUCUUCUUCUCCUUCCUUAUUGUUACCCUCCCCAACCUUAUUAUCUAUUAUACGUCCACUCCUUAGGAUAGUCAAAGCAUUGGCUUGCUCAUGAUUUAGUCGAGUUUCUUGAGCCACGUAUUGUCCCCUAGGAUUACUCAUUGGUUGACUUGGAAGCUUACCUUCCUCUCGCUUGUUUAAUGCAUUAGCUAGUUGACCCAUUUGGGAUUCUAGUUUAGCAAUUGAUUGCGUGUGAGAGUGCAAUAGUUGUGUGUUUGCCUCCAAACCUUGAAGGGCAGUCAA